GGGAUACUAGCUCAGUCGGUAGAGCACUUGACUUUUAAUCAAGGUGUCGCGGGUUCGAAUCCCGCGUGUCUCACGA
rnacentral:tRNA from 3 species